GAUGAACGCUGGCGGCGUGCUUAACACAUGCAAGUCGAACGAAGCGAUAUAGAGGAAAUUUUCGGAUGGAAUUUAUAUUGACUGAGUGGCGGACGGGUGAGUAACGCGUGGGUAACCUGCCUCAUACAGGGGGAUAACAGUUAGAAAUGACUGCUAAUACCGCAUAAGCGCACAGGGAUGCAUGUUCCAGUGUGAAAAACUGAGGUGGUAUGAGAUGGACCCGCGUCUGAUUAGCUAGUUGGAGGGGUAACGGCCCACCAAGGCGACGAUCAGUAGCCGACCUGAGAGGGUGACCGGCCACAUUGGGACUGAGACACGGCCCAA
rnacentral:rRNA from 1 species